UACGAAUGGUGCAAGCGUUACUCGGAAUUACUGGGCGUAAAGCGUGCGUAGGUGGUGGGUUAAGUCUGUCGUGAAAGCCCCGGGCUCAACCUGGGAAUGGCGAUGGAUACUGGCUCGCUAGAGUGCGGUAGAGGAGAGUGGAAUUCCCGGUGUAGCAGUGAAAUGCGUAGAGAUCGGGAGGAACAUCAGUUGCGAAGGCGGCUCUCUGGAACAGCACUGACACUGAGGCACGAAAGCUAGGGGAGCGAAUGGG
rnacentral:rRNA from 1 species